rnacentral:rRNA from 1 species
GCUACCAUGCAGUCGGGCGAAGAAGCUCCUCCGGGAGUGGAUUAGCGGCGGACGGGUGAGUAACACGUGGGCAACCUGCCUCAAAGAGGGGGAUAGCCUCCCGAAAGGGAGAUUAAUACCGCAUAAAAGGUAAAUAUCGCAUGAUAAAUACCUUAAAGGAGAAAUCCGCUUUGAGAUGGGCCCGCGUCGCAUUAGCUAGUUGGUGGGAUAACAGCCCACCAAGGCGACGAUGCGUAGCCGACCUGAGAGGGUGAACGGCCACAUUGGAACUGAGAGACGGUCCAGACUCCUACGGGAGGCAGCAGUGGGGAAUAUUGCACAAUGGGGGAAACCCUGAUGCAGCAACGCCGCGUGAGUGAAGAAGGUUUUCGGAUCGUAAAGCUCUGUCAUCCGGGACGAUAAUGACGGUACCGGAAGAGGAAGCCACGGCUAACUACGUGCCAGCAGCCGCGGUAAUACGUAGGUGGCGAGCGUUGUCCGGAAUUACUGGGCGUAAAGGGUGUGCAGGCGGAUAUUUAAGUGAGAUGUGAAAGACCCGGGCUUAACCCGGGCAGUGCAUUUCAAACUGGAUAUCUAGAGUGCAGGAGAGGAGAACGGAAUUCCUAGUGUAGCGGUGAAAUGCGUAGAGAUUAGGAAGAACACCAGUGGCGAAGGCGGUUCUCUGGACUGUAACUGACGCUGAGGCACGAAAGCGUGGGUAGCAAACAGGAUUAGAUACCCUGGUAGUCCACGCCGUAAAC